UACGGGGGGGGGCAAGCGUUGUUCGGAAUUACUGGGCGUAAAGGGCUCGUAGGCGGUCUGUUACGUCGGGAGUGAAAACUCGGGGCUCAACCCCGAGCCUGCUUCCGAUACGGGCAGACUAGAGGUAUGCAGGGGAGAAUGGAAUUCCUGGUGUAGCGGUGAAAUGCGCAGAUAUCAGGAGGAACACCGGUGGCGAAGGCGGUUCUCUGGGCCGAUACUGACGCUGAGGAGCGAAAGCGUGGGGAGCAAACAGG
rnacentral:rRNA from 1 species